GACCUUCUUCAGAAUACUGUAUAUACUAUGGGCAUCAUGGUGCUGAUCCAGAAUCCUUACAUUAUUAUUUAUUACUAGAGCUACAAUAAUAAAGCAAUGAGGAGGGGGAAGUAAUAAAUAUGAAAUAAUGUAUUUAUGAUGAUUCCAUUUGUUUCACUAUCCACUCUGUGCAGGGGCAAAGCUUAUUACAUUUUUAAACUGUAGCGAUACAAUAAUUUUACUGCUGUAAAAUCCAAAUUUUGUCUUAUUUAAAAUAUAAAUCUAAUAUAAUCUGCUUCUUAAUGUAUGUUCUUUAAAAUACAGCGUGUGUUUUUUAAUAUAUUAUAAUUAUAAUAAUGCAUAAUUAUGUGGACAUGCAUAUUAGAUCGUUUUUUAGUGAAAUAUAAUCCCCCCAGAAAGGCAGGAAAAGCCCUGUAACUUACUUUAAAACUAAAUAUGUUCUAAAUACUUUAAAACUAAAUAUGCUUCCUAAAACGGUGGACAGAGCUGCAGACCCAUGACAGCCAGGUAGCCAGCAGCUAUGACAGCACUACUUGUAAGCCCAUACUCCUAGGUGGUAUACACUACAGUGUACGCUGUACACCUACUUACUGGUUUUGUCGCAUCAGUCUGUGUCUCUGAGUUAACUUGUGUUUCUCCUACAGCUCCGGACCGGAAAAAAUGCGCGUGCUCUUUGUGAGCUCGUUCCCGGCUCGUAACCAGCACGUUCUGCCGUCGAGGGCGAUCAUUGGUUAAAUGUGAUCAUGUGACUGAUGCAAGCCAGAUCCUUUUAUUUAGCAAAACUGUGAUUAAUAGUUAAAUAUUAUUGUUGAGGGGCACAGACAGGACUCCGCACGCACACACAUUAAAAAAAAAAAAAAGAAUUAAAAAAAAAAAAAAGCCCCUCUAGCUCCCCCUCUGCACGUGCCUGUUGUUUACAUAUUAUUUAUAUUUUUACCAGUUAUUGUUAUUGAGAAUUUUAAUUUUAAAUUUUGUAUUAUAGUUUCUCAACAGUACUUGUUUUGAUUUGUUUACUGGUUUGCGCAAUUUAUUGAAAAAUUUUUAUUAAAAAAAAAAAAAAAAAAGAAAAAAAAAAAGUAAACUGCCAUGGCAGACCUGAUGGCAUUUUCAUGCUUCACAGCAUGAUUUAUUCUUACAAUAAUCACAUGGCUGCUGUAACAGUACAUUCUGCUGCAGCUUUCCUGCUGCCAGCUGUACACAUCACAAUCAACAACAACACAGAACACAGCACAGGUUUUACGCCGGCGAGGCAUGAUUGUAGAUGCCGCUCAGGUAAGUCCAUCUCACCUGCAGCGCAUCGCAGAACGUACUCCGCCACAUACCCCCUUCGCCCCUGAGGCCGAAUCUAACCUACUCGCCCCCUCCGCGAGCAGGCAAGGGAAUCGGCCCGGAUCAUCGUCGCCCCAGGUAGCCUUCCAUGUGGCAAACAGCCGCGGGGCAGCAGGCAUGGAAGUGAGCCGGGGCUCACAGGCAGCUGAGCAGGCGGUCGGCGCGCAGUACUGCGCAGCGUGCUGCCUCUGUUGGAAGAGAGGCUGGACCGGACAGCACGCUGCCCUCGGGUGUGGCAGGACCCCUGCGCACAUCUGUCUCCAGCUUGGCAGGUCCCGCUGACGCGCCAGCCUCCGGCUCACCCCAACCGGUCCUUGCCGUGCGCUGUCCACCGUUACAAUAAUCACACGGUUUCUCUAACAGUACAUUAGUACAACCGCUGCAGCUCGCCAGCUGUACAC
ensembl:lncRNA